ACUACGGGAGGCAGCAGUGAGGAAUAUUGGUCAAUGGGCGCGAGCCUGAACCAGCCAAGUCGCGUGAGGGAUGAAGGUUCUAUGGAUCGUAAACCUCUUUUAUAAGGGAAUAAAGUGUGGGACGUGUCCUAUUUUGUAUGUACCUUAUGAAUAAGGAUCGGCUAAUUCCGUGCCAGCAGCCGCGGUAAUACGGAGGAUCCGAGCGUUAUCCGGAUUUAUUGGGUUUAAAGGGUGCGUAGGCGGCCGUUUAAGUCAGCGGUGAAAGUAUGUGGCUAAACCAUAGAAUUGCCGUUGAAACUGGGGGGCUUGAGUAUGUUUGAGGCAGGAGGAAUGCGUGGUGUAGCGGUGAAAUGCUUAGAUAUCACGCAGAACCCCGAUUGCGAAGGCAGCCUGCCAAGCCAUGACUGACGCUGAUGCACGACAGCGUGGGGAUCAAACAGGAUUAGAUAACCUGGUAGUG
rnacentral:rRNA from 1 species